AGCGAACGCUGGCGGCAGACCUAACACAUGCAAGUCGAACGAAGUCUUCGGACUUAGUGGCGGACGGGUGAGUAACACGUGGGAACGUGCCUUUAGGUUCGGAAUAACUCAGGGAAACUUGUGCUAAUACCGAAUGUGCCCUUCGGGGGAAAGAUUUAUCGCCUUUAGAGCGGCCCGCGUCUGAUUAGCUAGUUGGUGAGGUAAAGGCUCACCAAGGCGACGAUCAGUAGCUGGUCUGAGAGGAUGAUCAGCCACAUUGGGACUGAGACACGGCCCAAACUCCUACGGGAGGCAGCAGUGGGGAAUCUUGCGCAAUGGGCGAAAGCCUGACGCAGCCAUGCCGCGUGAAUGAUGAAGGUCUUAGGAUUGUAAAAUUCUUUCACCGGGGACGAUAAUGACGGUACCCGGAGAAGAAGCCCCGGCUAACUUCGUGCCAGCCGCCGCGGUAA
rnacentral:rRNA from 1 species